rnacentral:rRNA from 1 species
GGAAUAUUGGACAAUGGGCGAAAGCCUGAUCCAGCCAUGCCGCGUGCAGGAUGACGGUCCUAUGGAUUGUAAACUGCUUUUAUACGAGAAGAAACACUCCUUCGUGAAGGAGCUUGACGGUAUCGUAAGAAUAAGGAACGGCUCACUCCGUUCCCGCAGCCGCGGUAAUACGGAGGAUCCAAGCGUUAGCCGGAAUCAUUGGGUUUAAAGGGUCCGUAGGCGGUUUGGUAAGUCAGUGGUGAAAGCCCAUCGCUCAACGGUGGAACGGCCAUUGAUACUGCCAGACUUGAAGUAUUAGGAAGUAACUAGAAUAUGUAGUGUAGCGGUGAAAUGCUUAGAGAUUACAUGGAAUACCAAUUGCGAAGGCAGGUUACUACUAAUGGAUUGACGCUGAUGGACGAAAGCGUGGGUAGCGA